GUUACCCAACUAAUGAAUUUUAGUUCAACUUUAAGCCUACCCCUAGAAUUUACAAUCCCCAUGUAAGCUUAAAAGAUAGCCUAAAAAGGUACAGCUCUUUAGGCCAAGGAUACAGCCUUUAAUAGUGAAUAACCAAAAUACCAAUAAACCAUAGUUGGCUUUAAAGCAGCCACCAAUAAAGAAAGCGUUCAAGCUCAAAAUUUUAAAAUUUAUCCCAAUUCCAAAAAGAAACAGUAAUUCCUAUCUCCCUAAUUGGGUUAAUCUAUUGAUAUAUAGAUGAAACAAUGUUGACAUGAGUAACAAGAAUUAUUAUUCUCCAAGCACAAGCUUAUAACAACCCGGAUAACCAUUGUUAGUUAACCAAAUCACAGAAUAAAUUUACAUAAUUAGUUUAUCUUUAACCACUGAAAUGUUAAUCCAAUACGGGAGUGCUGCUUAAGGAAAGAUAUAAAAAAAUAAAAGGAACUAGGCAAACAUAAACCCCGCCUGUUUACCAAAAACAUCACCUCUAGCAUUACAAGUAUUAGAGGCAAUGCCUGCCCAGUGACUAAAGUUUAACGGCCGCGGUAUUCUG
rnacentral:rRNA from 1 species